rnacentral:rRNA from 1 species
AGUCGAACGCAGUAGCAAUACUGAGUGGCAGACGGGUGAGUAUAAUGUGGGAAUCUACCUUUUGGUUGGGAAUAACUUGGGGAAACUUAAGCUAAUACCGAAUAAGCCCUUACGGGGAAAGCUUUACGCGCCGAUAGAUGAGCCCGCACUUGAUUAGCUAGUUGGUGAGGUAAAGGCUCACCAAGGCAACGAUCAAUAGCUGUUCUUAGAGGAAGACCAGCCACAUUGGGACUGAGACACAGCCCAGACUCCUACGGGAGGCAGCAGUAAGGAAUCUUGCACAAUGGGGGAAACCCUGAUGCAGCGAUGCCGCGUGAGUGAAGAAGGCCCUUGGGUUGUAAAACUCUUUCGUCGGGGAAGAAAAUGACUGUACCCGAAUAAGAAGGUCCGGCUAACUUCGUGCCAGCAGCCGCGGUAAUACGAAGGGACCUAGCGUAGUUCGGAAUUACUGGGCUUAAAGAGCUCGUAGGUGGUUAAAAUAGUUGAUGGUGAAAUCCCAAGGCUCAACCUUGGAACUGCCAUCAAAACUUUUUAGCUAGAGUAUGACAGAGGAAAGUGGAAUUUCUAGUGUAGAGGUGAAAUUCGUAGAUAUUAGAAAGAACACCAAAAGCGAAGGCAACUUUCUGGGUCAUUACUGACACUGAGGAGCGAAAGCAUGGGUAGCGAAGAGGAUUAGAUACCCUCGUAGUCCAUGCCGUAAACGAUGUGUGCUAGACGUUGGAAAUUUAAUUUUCAGUGUCGCAGCGAAAGCAUUAAGCACACCGCCUGGGGAGUACGACCGCAAGGUUAAAACUCAAAUGAAUUGACGGGGACCCGCACAAGCAGUGGAGCAUGUGGUUUAAUUCGAAGAUACGCGCAGAACCUUACCAACACUUGACAUGUUCGUCGCGAGACCAAGAGAUUGGUUUCUUCAUUCAGUUGGA